rnacentral:rRNA from 1 species
AAAUUGAAGAGUUUGAUCAUGGCUCAGAUUGAACGCUGGCGGCAGGCCUAACACAUGCAAGUCGAACGGUAACAGGAAGCAGCUUGCUGCUUUGCUGACGAGUGGCGGACGGGUGAGUAAUGUCUGGGAAACUGCCUGAUGGAGGGGGAUAACUACUGGAAACGGUAGCUAAUACCGCAUAACGUCGCAAGACCAAAGAGGGGGACCUUAGGGCCUCUUGCCAUCGGAUGUGCCCAGAUGGGAUUAGCUAGUAGGUGGGGUAAUGGCUCACCUAGGCGACGAUCCCUAGCUGGUCUGAGAGGAUGACCAGCCACACUGGAACUGAGACACGGUCCAGACUCCUACGGGAGGCAGCAGUGGGGAAUAUUGCACAAUGGGCGCAAGCCUGAUGCAGCCAUGCCGCGUGUAUGAAGAAGGCCUUCGGGUUGUAAAGUACUUUCAGCGGGGAGGAAGGGAGUAAAGUUAAUACCUUUGCUCAUUGACGUUACCCGCAGAAGAAGCACCGGCUAACUCCGUGCCAGCAGCCGCGGUAAUACGGAGGGUGCAAGCGUUAAUCGGAAUUACUGGGCGUAAAGCGCACGCAGGCGGUUUGUUAAGUCAGAUGUGAAAUCCCCGGGCUCAACCUGGGAACUGCAUCUGAUACUGGCAAGCUUGAGUCUCGUAGAGGGGGGUAGAAUUCCAGGUGUAGCGGUGAAAUGCGUAGAGAUCUGGAGGAAUACCGGUGGCGAAGGCGGCCCCCUGGACGAAGACUGACGCUCAGGUGCGAAAGCGUGGGGAGCAAACAGGAUUAGAUACCCUGGUAGUCCACGCCGUAAACGAUGUCGACUUGGAGGUUGUGCCCUUGAGGCGUGGCUUCCGGAGCUAACGCGUUAAGUCGACCGCCUGGGGAGUACGGCCGCAAGGUUAAAACUCAAAUGAAUUGACGGGGGCCCGCACAAGCGGUGGAGCAUGUGGUUUAAUUCGAUGCAACGCGAAGAACCUUACCUGGUCUUGACAUCCACGGAAGUUUUCAGAGAUGAGAAUGUGCCUUCGGGAACCGUGAGACAGGUGCUGCAUGGCUGUCGUCAGCUCGUGUUGUGAAAUGUUGGGUUAAGUCCCGCAACGAGCGCAACCCUUAUCCUUUGUUGCCAGCGGUCCGGCCGGGAACUCAAAGGAGACUGCCAGUGAUAAACUGGAGGAAGGUGGGGAUGACGUCAAGUCAUCAUGGCCCUUACGACCAGGGCUACACACGUGCUACAAUGGCGCAUACAAAGAGAAGCGACCUCGCGAGAGCAAGCGGACCUCAUAAAGUGCGUCGUAGUCCGGAUUGGAGUCUGCAACUCGACUCCAUGAAGUCGGAAUCGCUAGUAAUCGUGGAUCAGAAUGCCACGGUGAAUACGUUCCCGGGCCUUGUACACACCGCCCGUCACACCAUGGGAGUGGGUUGCAAAAGAAGUAGGUAGCUUAACCUUCGGGAGGGCGCUUACCACUUUGUGAUUCAUGACUGGGGUGAAGUCGUAACAAGGUAACCGUAGGGGAACCUGCGGUUGGAUCACCUCCUUA